AUUGAACGCUGGCGGCAGGCCUAACACAUGCAAGUCGAAUGGUAACAGGAAACAGCUUGCUGUUUCGCUGACGAGUGGCGGACGGGUGAGGAAUGUCUGGGAAACUGCCUGAUGGAGGGGGAUAACUACUGGAAACGGUAGCUAAUACCGCAUAACGUCGCAAGACCAAAGAGGGGGACCUUCGGGCCUCUUGCCAUCAGAUGUGCCCAGAUGGGAUUAGCUAGUAGGUGGGGUAACGGCUCACCUAGGCGACGAUCCCUAGCUGGUCUGAGAGGAUGACCAGCCACACUGGAACUGAGACACGGUCCAGACCCCUACGGGAGGCAGCAGUGGGGAAUAUUGCACAAUGGGCGCAAGCCUGAUGCAGCCAUGCCGCGUGUAUGAAGAAGGCCUUCGGGUUGUAAAGUACUUUCAGCGGGGAGGAAGGGAGUAAAGUUAAUACCUUUGCUCAUUGACGUUACCCGCAGAAGAAGCACCGGCUAACUCCGUG
rnacentral:rRNA from 1 species